rnacentral:rRNA from 1 species
AGUGAACGCUGGCGGUAGGCCUAACACAUGCAAGUCGAACGGCAGCACAGUAAGAGCUUGCUCUUACGGGUGGCGAGUGGCGGACGGGUGAGGAAUACAUCGGAAUCUACUUUUUCGUGGGGGAUAACGUAGGGAAACUUACGCUAAUACCGCAUACGACCUACGGGUGAAAGCAGGGGAUCUUCGGACCUUGCGCGAUUGAAUGAGCCGAUGUCGGAUUAGCUAGUUGGCGGGGUAAAGGCCCACCAAGGCGACGACCCGUAGCUGGUCUGAGAGGAUGAUCAGCCACACUGGAACUGAGACACGGUCCAGACUCCUACGGGAGGCAGCAGUGGGGAAUAUUGGACAAUGGGCGCAAGCCUGAUCCGGCCAUACCGCGUGGGUGAAGAAGGCCUUCGGGUUGUAAAGCCCUUUUGUUGGGAAAGAAAAGCAGCAGGUUAAUACCCCGCUGUUCUGACGGUACCCAAAGAAUAAGCACCGGCUAACUUCGUG